rnacentral:tRNA from 1 species
AGACUGUUAAAAAAUAUAAAUUUCUAAUUUAUUAUUAAAGCAUCAGUGUUUUAGUCUU